GCGCCGAUGGGGUAGUGGUAACCUGGGUCGUUGCCACGGACCGUUGAAUUCGACCCGCCGGGGGUUCGAUUCCCUCUCGGCGCA